UGCAAGUCGAACGAUGAAGCCCUUCGGGGUGGAUUAGUGGCGAACGGGUGAGUAACACGUGGGCAAUCUGCCCUUCACUCUGGGACAAGCCCUGGAAACGGGGUCUAAUACCGGAUACAACCACUGACCGCAUGGUCGGGUGGUGGAAAGCUCCGGCGGUGAAGGAUGAGCCCGCGGCCUAUCAGCUUGUUGGUGAGGUAAUGGCUCACCAAGGCGACGACGGGUAGCCGGCCUGAGAGGGCGACCGGCCACACUGGGACUGAGACACGGCCCAGACUCCUACGGGAGGCAGCAGUGGGGAAUAUUGCACAAUGGGCGAAAGCCUGAUGCAGCGACGCCGCGUGAGGGAUGACGGCCUUCGGGUUGUAAACCUCUUUCAGCAGGGAAGAAGCGAAAGUGACGGUACCUGCAGAAGAAGCGCCGGCUAACUACGUGCCAGCAGCCGCGGUAAUACGUAGGGCGCAAGCGUUGUCCGGAAUUAUUGGGCGUAAAGAGCUCGUAGGCGGCUUGUCACGUCGAUUGUGAAAGCCCGAGGCUUAACCUCGGGUCUGCAGUCGAUACGGGCUAGCUAGAGUGUGGUAGGGGAGAUCGGAAUUCCUGGUGUAGCGGUGAAAUGCGCAGAUAUCAGGAGGAACACCGGUGGCGAAGGCGGAUCUCUGGGCCAUUACUGACGCUGAGGAGCGAAAGCGUGGGGAGCGAACAGGAUUAGAUACCCUG
rnacentral:rRNA from 1 species